UACGUAGGGGGCUAGCGUUGUCCGGAAUCAUUGGGCGUAAAGCGCGUGUAGGCGGCCCGGUAAGUCCGCUGUGAAAGUCGGGGGCUCAACCCUCGAAAGCCGGUGGAUACUGUCGGGCUCGAGUACGGAAGAGGCGAGUGGAAUUCCUGGUGUAGCGGUGAAAUGCUCAGAUAUCAGGAGGAACACCGAUUGCGAAGGCAGCUCGCUGGGACGUUACUGACGCUGAGACGCGAAAGCGUGGGGAGCAAACAGG
rnacentral:rRNA from 1 species